rnacentral:lncRNA from 10 species
CGCCAUCCGCCAGCUGCCUGGCUUAUCCACAACCAGGGAAGCAGCGGGGCAUCCUCAAGCUGCCCUGUGUGGGGUGCUGUCUGUGAAACAGCAGCAGCAAACCCAGAAGCCGAGGUUAGACACUCAGCAUGCGAGGAAAGCACGCAGAGGCGGAGGCCGCGGCGCUCAGAAACUGCCGUAUUUAGAGAUCACGCGGAGCCAUAGGACAGUGCAGCCAUGAGCACCACUGCAUCGUCCUUGGCGACGAGCCAGGCCCGGGGGUCCUCCUGGGCUGCAUCUCCUGCCGGGCACCAGCUUCCUCCGCCCCUUCGGCACUCGCCAGCCAAGCUGCAAGGGGCACACUGAGGAGCAGACAGGCAGCGCUUCCAUGUCGGCGCCAUGCCCAGCACCCUGACGGAACACGUGACCGAGGACACAGGUGCAGGGGGAGGCAGGGGACUAAGACCCUGAGCAAGUCAUGAGCAGGCAGCACCCUAAGACGCUGUCCCAGGACAGCCAGGAGUCCCGACAGGACGGUGUUGGAGGUUCAAGGCUCAGAGCUGCCACAGAGGAGGGCGUCAGUGAGGAGAUGGAUUUGAGCAUCGCCUGCCUGAGUGGUGGGACAGAGAGCCAGGAUCUGUGGCCACAGGGGAGGCCGGGCCCCGGGACCCUGGGCAGGAGCUGCUGGCUGUGCUGGGGGGCAGUGAUGGAGAAGAGGGCAGGAAACCCGAGGGAAGCUGAGUGACAGGGUUUGGCUGUGUCCCCACACAAAUCUCACCUUGAAUUGUACUCUCCAUAGUACCCACGUAUCAAGGGCGGGAGCAGGUGGAGGUGCCUGGAUCAUGGGGUGGCUCCCCCAUGCUGUUCUUGCAAUACUGCGUGAGUCUCAUGAGAUCUGAUGGUUUCAUCAACGUCUGGUACUUCCCCUGCUUGCACUCACUCCGUCCCGCCGCCCUGGGACCUGCUUCUCCUUUGCCUUCCACCAUGACUAAGUUUCCUGA